rnacentral:rRNA from 1 species
GACGAACGCUGGCGGCACGCUUAACACAUGCAAGUCGAACGGAGAUAUUUUGAGUUUACUUAGGAUAUCUUAGUGGCGGACGGGUGAGUAACACGUGAGCAACCUGCCUUGGAGAGAGGGAUAGCUUCUGGAAACGGAUGGUAAUACCUCAUAACAUACAGAGACCGCAUGAUUUCUGUAUCAAAGAUUUAUCACUCUGAGAUGGGCUCGCGUCUGAUUAGCUAGAUGGUGAGGUAACGGCCCACCAUGGCGACGAUCAGUAGCCGGACUGAGAGGUUGAACGGCCACAUUGGGACUGAGACACGGCCCAGACUCCUACGGGAGGCAGCAGUGGGGAAUAUUGCACAAUGGGGGAAACCCUGAUGCAGCGAUGCCGCCGUGGAGGAAGAAGGUUUUCGGAUUGUAAACUCCUGUCUAAACGACGAUAAUG